ACAAGCGGAGGAGCAUGUGGUUUAAUUCGAUGAUACGCGAGGAACCUUACCUGGGCUCGAACGUAAGAUGACUGUAGGUGAAAGCUUACAUCUCUUCGGAGCAUUUUACGAGGUGCUGCAUGGUUGUCGUCAGCUCGUGCCGUGAGGUGUCGGGUUAAGUCCCAUAACGAGCGCAACCCCUACCUUUAGUCGCCAUCAGGUUAAGCUGGGGACUCUAAAGGAACUGCCUACGCAAGUAGUGAGGAAGGCGGGGAUGACGUCAAAUCAGCACGGCCCUUACGUCCAGGGCUACACACGUGCUACAAUGGCCGAUACAGAGGGCAGCUACCUGGUGACAGGAUGCAAAUCUCCAAAGUCGGUCUCAGUUCGGAUCGGAGUCUGCAACCCGACUCCGUGAAGUUGGAUUCGCUAGUAAUCGCGCAUCAGCCAUGGCGCGGUGAAUACGUUCCCGGGCCUU
rnacentral:rRNA from 1 species